AGGAUGCUCGUGGCUUGGCCUAUAUAGGAGGAAUAUGCACAUCUGAUUCAGUAUACUUUGCUCAAUGGUACUACGAAAGCAUAAGCGAAACUACUAUUGUAGUUGGUCAUGAAUUAGGACAUUCUAUGGGAUUUAAUCAUGAUAGAGAACAUAAAUACUGUGAAUGUUUAACACCACGAGGAUGUUUUAUGGGAAACAAAGACACCAGAACAAGUAGGCCUGGUUUCUCGACCUGUAAUAUGGAAGAGUAUGUGAACAUGGAUCUGAAAAAUGGUUAUAGUUGUCUUAAA
rnacentral:lncRNA from 1 species